CAGGCCGCAUUGGCCCCCGUAGUGCACAAGCGCCCAGCAAGACGACCCGUCCAAAG
rnacentral:rRNA from 1 species